rfam:Opisthorchis viverrini opera_v5_1.120, whole genome shotgun sequence.
GUGCGUCAGAAAAGGAGAGAUGGUUGGCAGUCCCCUGCACAAGGUCGGAUCGGGUCAAUCGACCCCCACUCUCCCGAGGCAUGCAACGCCCCCUACUCCUGGGGCGGCCUUUUCCCUCUCCUCU